CCUACGGGAGGCUGCAGUGGGGAAUAUUGGACAAUGGGGGCAACCCUGAUCCAGCCAUGCCGCGUGUGUGAAGAAGGCCCUCGGGUUGUAAAGCACUUUCAGUGAGGAAGAACGCCUGGUGGUUAAUACCCAUCAGGAAAGACAUCACUCACAGAAGAAGCACCGGCUAACUCCGUGCCAGCAGCCGCGGUAAUACGGAGGGUGCGAGCGUUAAUCGGAAUUACUGGGCGUAAAGCGCGCGUAGGUGGCUUGAUAAGCCGGUUGUGAAAGCCCCGGGCUCAACCUGGGAACGGCAUCCGGACCUGUCAAGCUAGAGUGCAGGAGAGGAAGGUAGAAUUCCCGGUGUAGCGGUGAAAUGCGUAGAGAUCGGGAGGAAUACCAGUGGCGAAGGCGGCCUUCUGGACUGACACUGACACUGAGGUGCGAAAGCGUGGGUAGCAAACAGGAUUAGAUACCCUUGUAGUC
rnacentral:rRNA from 1 species